CCCAGACUCCUACGGGAGGCAGCAGUGGGGAAUAUUGCACAAUGGGGGAAACCCUGAUGCAGCGACGCCGCGUGAGUGAGGAAGUAUUUCGGUAUGUAAAGCUCUAUCAGCAGGGAAGAAAAAAUGACGGUACCUGACUAAGAAGCACCGGCUAAAUACGUGCCAGCAGCCGCGGUAAUACGUAUGGUGCAAGCGUUAUCCGGAUUUACUGGGUGUAAAGGGAGCGCAGGCGGUACGGCAAGUCUGAUGUGAAAGCCCGGGGCUCAACCCCGGUACUGCAUUGGAAACUACCGGACUGGAGUGUCGGAGGGGUAAGUGGAAUUCCUAGUGUAGCGGUGAAAUGCGUAGAUAUUAGGAGGAACACCAGUGGCGAAGGCGGCUUACUGGACGAUCACUGACGCUGAGGCUCGAAAGCGUGGGGAGCAAACAGGAUUAGAUACCCUCGGUAAC
rnacentral:rRNA from 1 species